rnacentral:lncRNA from 1 species
UUUAGUAGUUUAAUAAAUAAAUAGUUCAGUUAGAUGAUCACUAUGAAUGUUUGAAUGUUUGUGAACUGGUUUUAAUUGAUGAUUUACUGAUGCAUGAGAUUAGAGAUUUGUGGAUCCGUGGAUUUGGUUUUAUAGAUAUAUAGUUCUUGUAUUUAUGGAUUUAUGCAUCGUGGUUUUCUACCCCUCGACGUAGUCGGUUUUCAAAAUAGAGUUUUCGAGUGGAAAACAAUUUUAAAAGGUUUUCGAAUGGUUUGUGAAUGAUUGAAUUAGAGUUUAAAAAUAAAGCUUCCGAAAAUUCCAGGUGGGGAGCACUCUUAGAUAUGAUGCUUGUUGUAUUGUGCAUUGCAUCAUCCAGUACCUAAGGAGUGUUCCUAAGGAGUGUUUAGAGACAUGCACCAUUUCUAAGGAUCGCUAGCUGUAUGCAAAUGUAUCGCAUAAAUUGGUUGUUGAUUGGUAAAUGUAAGUUGUGGUUGAGAUCCUGAUGUAUCGUUGGUAUGCCGUGCAAAUACAAAGUAGACUCUGUCCGAGUGGACAGAGAAACUUUGUAUUUAUGGCGGGUCUGUACGUCACGUGGGCCAGGUUAAAAAAUAAAAAAAAAAAUGGCACGUUUUCUGUAACUCUGAUUUCAAAAUUGGUAUCGAUUUAAAAAGACUUUUAUAAUAGGCCCCGGGGCGUUACACGCUCCCUCUUCGUCGCCGCGUGGGUGGAGCGCCAUGUCUUCGGAUUCUAGAGAAUCGUCCAUGGGUACGUUCUUUUACUCUGAACUCUAUUCGUUUGAUCUCUUUGUUGCUCUAAUUUGGUCACUUUACUGGUUCUAACUUCGUAAUUGGAGGAAUUUGAGUGUUUUUUUUUUCUUUCAAAUCUUUAAUUUAACAAUAUGUUAGGGGUUUUGGUUUCCAAGAAAAUUUUCAAUUUUCUUGUUUAUUUAUUUUCUUAUUAGGACUUAGGGUUUAGGGUUUAGAAAUCAUGAAGAUUGCAAUCCUUUUGGUUGUAGAGUUAACUUAUCUCUACACAAAUAUAUAGAUAUAGUUCGAUUCUACAAAUAUAGAAACUAUGGGAUUUCUUAGAAAUUAGUAAUGGUUUAGUAAAUCUUACUGAUCGGAUAAAAACUGCACCACUAAAAUUUAAAGAAUAAUAAAUUGCAAUACGAAUGAUUACAUACAAAUCAUAAGCUAUACAUUUAACGAGCCUCAAUCUAUCUGCAGAGAUCUCUAGGAUUUUAUUCAAAGUAGUCCCCAUUAUCGUGCAUAUCCAAAUUAAAUAGAAUAUAUUAGCUUGUAUAUGACAUAGACAACAUCUCUAUUUAACAGUGUUUAGAAUCUACUGCUAGUCUUGAAUAUGCAAUCUGCUUUGAUAUCAACUGCAGUGAAUACGGUACUGGCGUGGGGAUUUCGCAACGAAGGCGUGAAAUUGAAUUUUUACUAUAAAAGUGCUCUUCUUAAAUUUGCAAUCCGCUCUAACACCUACUACUCUAAAUCCGAUACCAGUAUUAAAAUUUCGCAAUAAAAAUGUCAAAUCGAAUUUUUAACAUAAACUCAUAAAUAGCUGAUACAAUUACAAAAGAGAGAAAAUCAAAAAAAUAUAUAGAUAAAACAAGAUCCACUAAAUUAGAAAAGAAUUAAACCCGAAUCUCUCACACACUUCUAGAUCUUAUUUUCUAUAAACGCUCUCUCUCCAACUCGGUACUGACGUCCAAGGCUUUCUUGUUUCAGAACUCGAGCUACUCCUUAGUGUCAUAUAUAUAAUGCGUAAAUAAUGAUAUAUCUAAAUCUAAUAUAAUUAGGAAUAUUACUCUAGCUAAUAUUUAAAUUUAAAUUAAUUUAUCUUUAAUGAAUUAAAAUGUUUCUUCUAAUUCAAUUAGGAGUAAACCACAAAUUUAACUAAAUUAAAAUAUUUAUCCUAAUUCAACUAGAAAUACACUAGAGACCUAACCAAUUCCUAACAGACAGUUUAAAUUUUUUGGGUUAGGUUUGGGCCUUUUAGCAUCCUCGACUGCAUGCUCCCUCUGGCUUCUCCGGAGAUGAAGCCUAACUUGAUAAGAUUGAGGGGUUAAUUUGACCGAACUAAUAGAGAUGACGGUUAUAAAACUAAUUUAUAAGACCUACAAAAUUUUCUCUUCAAUUUUAAAUAAAUUGUUUUACUUCGUGAAUUAUGUCGUCUAUAUAAUUUUUUUAUUAUAGGUAAGUUCCAAAUUAGCGAAAAAACUCAGCAAUUUUAACUAUUUGUUCACAAUUAGUUUGUUGCAACGGAUCUAAUCCUACGGGCGAUAACUAUCGAUUGUAUCAGCAGUCUAGAUCAGUGCAAUUUAUUAGCGCGUCAUGUCAUUCACCUUAAACAAACUCAGCAGGUGAACCAACCAGCCAAAGAAGCAGCAGCAGCAGCAGAAGAGGCGGUGAAACAGGAAUCAGCUGCACCUUCUAAUUAAUUCUCAACCAAAAAAAGAAAAAAAGGUUAUAAAAAAAAAAAAAAAAAAAAAAACUAUGUGAGUAUAAAAAAUUUCAAUGAAACUCUGUUUGGUUUGGUUCUGCAUUUGCAAGCCGUGCUUUGGAGCGAAGUAAAUUGUUUGAUGCAGCACAUAACUACACUGGAGGUUAACAGAACCCGCGCCGAUCUGCAAUCAUCUCUGCCUGCGACCACUUCCACCGGCUCAACCGUAGCCCGACAGAACGGGCACGUCGAGUGCGAGCUAGUCGUGUCUUGCUGCUGGGCCAUCCAUGAAUUGGUCGACAUGGUAAUUAACCGGAGUAGUUACGGAUUGUAUAAAAGGAUUUGCAGCUUGGAUUAGUUAAGCUUACACUUCUAUUUAUGUCCGGUGAAUAAAUCUCUGUUAUUAAUUCGUGCAUCUUAGCCCGUGGUUUGAGUUGGAUUAACGGGAAAUUAAUUAUCAGCAACAAAUUAAAGCGGUUUCAGGUUUCGAAAACAAAUGGAACUGAGUUUAUAUGCCAAAUAAAAUUUUAAAAAAAUUAUUUGGCAAAUUAAAAAAUUUUUAUAGAAAUUAUUUUUUUAAAAAAAGUCCUCUAAAAGCAUCUCCUCUAUUUCAAGAAAAAUCCUGAACUAGAAUUUAAUAAUAAUUUAUAAAUUUUUUACUCAGAUAAUCCAUAAAUUUUUAUGAAAAUUGUGGAAAGAUAUGAAGAGCUAUCUUAGUAACAUAAAGCAAUGGAGUAUUGCUCAGGCAUAACUAUUGCCUUAACUACAAUUAACCUCACUAACUAAUGAAACUAGAGAGAAACGAUUCGGUAUUUUAUUUUAUAAAAAAAUAAAAAGAUCUUAACUGUAGUGUUUCGAACAAUUUAACUGUCGGAAUGAUCGCAAUUUCGGCAAUAGGAUGACACACCCGUAGAUUAUCGGGGUGAGUUGGAGUUGUUGGGAUGCAAAAUUGGUGCCACGAAUUAUUCCGAAAUCUGAAUUAAUUGCAGCUAGAACAAGUUAUUGAUGUGGGAGCCAAGGGAUCAACUUAUCUUUUCACCUACCACUAAUGGAAGUUUUAGAUUUUAGUGGUUAACUCUCAACUGAACAUUGGACUUCACUUCUCCUUGCUCUCUCCUGCGCAUUGCUGCAGGCAGGAGCCUCACCUGUUGCCAGCAACUAACAAUAGCCAGCAGCAGCCACCUCCAUACAGGCUGCUGGUGGGACUCCAAUUCGAAAAUUGGAGUUGGUUUUGGAUAAAAGGAGGUAGCGGAGCUCAGUAUAAACCAUUUCUUCCAGCUAAUAUUGAGGUUAGUAUGAUGGAAUUUAUAAUAUUUUGGUGAAGUAAUUGCUGAAAUGGUGAAUAAUGUUGGAUUUCACAAUUCUUAGAUUUGAUGGAAUUUACCUUGCUUAAUCCAGUUAGAGCUUUUGCUGGGUUUUGGGUGAUCUUAACUUCAUCUUUUGCUGGUAAGAAUCUUAUUUGGGCUGAAUCGAAGGUUAGUUCAGAGAGAAUUUCAGUUUUUACUUGAGUUCCAAUCACUUUGACCUCAUGCUGAAAUUCUGAUUUUUAAUCUAAUGUCCACCUCUUUUAAUUGGCUGAGAAGUAUUGGUGUGAUUUGGAUGUUUUCAUUGUAGAUGAGUGUUGAGCCAAUUAGGCGCGGAUGAGAUUUAGGUGCGAAUAUUCUUUAAAAGCGUCAAUUCAGUCGUGUAUCAGGAGCACCAGAAAAGGGUAUCGCGCCAAUUGAAGAAAGUUACGGUAACCGCAAGCGGUUACAUGCGAUUCCGAUCGGCUAGAAGUGGUCAGGAAUAUGAGGAAAUAGUGGCCGAUCGUGUAAAGAGCAAUAACUGACCGAAGGGGCUAUCUAUAAAUAGGGUAAUAAUACCCCAAAAAGAGGUCUUCGCCCCUGCGCACAAAAGACCACUUUUAUUUUCCUGCAUUUUUCUUUCUUGCAUUUACUGUUUUUCCUAGGAGUAGUUCUUGUAACUUAGAUAUUUGGAGUCUGUCUGCCCCAUGGGCAUCACUCCCUUAUAGAAUAUACUUGGAGUCUGUCUGCCCCAUGGGCAUCACUCCCUUGUAGAAUAUAUUUGGAGUCUGUCUGCCCCACGGGCAUCACUCCCCUGUUCUUGUACUCUUCCAUUCCCUAUUCAAUAGAAAGUCACGUUCGGCUAUUCGGGCCGACCAGAUUUUGUGUUGUGCUAGCCAUUCGGCUCAUCUCCCGGCUUAAUUUUCGACUUUCCACGCACAUUCGACUCAUCCAGCCGAACCGGAGAGUGAAAAGAGCUUUCGAACCCGGCUGACCCGAUCCCUCGUCAGCCGAAUCGCUUGAUCUGUCGAAGGGCGCAAACUUCGAGGGUCACUAUUCGCAGCAGUUUAGCAUCCCGACACGCUCCCAGAGGAGGAUCGUUGACUAGGUCAAGGGUCGGGGAAUUUCGACACCAACAAUUUUUUGGCACGCCCGGUGGGACACUAACAUAAGGUAAAUUUGCAUUAUAUAUAAAGUAUGGCUAAUGAUAACGCCACUAAUCUUCGUAAUAGGGCUAUCCCUAGAAAUUCUGGGAGUGAACAGCCCAGUAAUUCAGAGAAUGUUGUAGAGCGCCAAGCAGUCUUACCCGCUGAAGGUGAGACCAGUGGUCAUUCUGGCCAACAAGAGCCUAGCCUGGCUCAAGCGCUUGGGCAGAUGACUCGGGUCCUUCAAGUUUUGGACCAAAACAGUCAUGCGAGUUCUGCACGGCUGGAUGCCGUCUUGGCCGCAAUUACGGCCUCUAACGAGAACAUCGCCCGAAUAGGGCAGUUGUUAACUCGGAACGAACAGCCGAUAACAGGCUUGCAAGCGCCUGUGAUAACACCAGUGUUACAAAAUCCUGUGACACCGGUAAAUGGUCAGCCCCAGCACUAGGGGGCACCAUAUCAAGUGGCUUAUAAACCGGCUGUCGUUAAUGCCGGUCAACAGCCAAAAGUGGCUUGGGGGUUACCUCCACCUCCUCCAGUAGCAGUGUACCAGCCUCAAAAUGCAGGGGCUAGGGGGCAAGCUCCAAAUGUACAAGGGGUUAAUCCCAUAGUACAAAACAUCGGAGUUCCACUCCCACCGAACCCAGCACCAGCGCAAGCUCCUUUACAGGGGAUUAAUAACGAGAUUUAUGUGCAAAUAGAAGAAGCCAUCCUGAAUACUUUCGAAGUAGGCGCAAGGCCGGCAAUGCGGCCCGUAUUCAGGUCACCAUAUCUUGCAAAUAUAGAUAUAGAACACCCAUAUCCGGCAAAUUGGAAGAUGCCGAAAUUUGACAAGUUUUCCGGCGACGAGACCGAGAAUACGGUCGAGCACGUCGCGCGGUUUAUUGCUCAGUGCCGUGAGGCCGCGGCAAAUCCUUUUUUAAAGUUAAGAUUAUUUAAUACCUCAUUAACUAAGACGACUUUUACUUGGUACACGAGCUUACCUGCUAAUUCUGCCCGAGAUUGGGACGGGUUAGAAGGUAAAUUUCAUGAACAGUUUUAUAGAACAGAGCCAGAACUAUCAGUUGCGGAUUUGGCUCAAUUCAAACAAAAAACAGGAGAAUCAGUUGAUGAAUAUUUGAACCGAUUCAAAACUGCUCGAAGCCGUUGUUUCGCAAGAAUGCCGGAAUCGAAAUUUGCCAAAAUGGCAUUCAACGGCAUGCAUUUUAAAAUUAAAGAUCAUUUUGAGGAUAAAUUCUUUCCAAAUCUUUUUGAUUUGGGAGUUCGGGUUGCUCAAUAUGAGCAAUUUCGGAAAGGUAACAAUGAAGAUCAGCCCAGAUGGAGCCGAAACAAAGAUUGGAACAAAAGAAAGGAGAAAAAUAUCUCUUUCUUUGAAGAGUUUUCGGCUCAUGAAGAGCCGAAUUCGUCUGAAGAAAAUGAGGAUUCGGCUGAUGAAGCCGGAAUUUGUGCUGCCGAGAUGGUGAGAAAUAAUCAACCAUACAAAUGUGCUUUGUUAAGACCUGCCAAGUCAAGAGAGGCGAAAGCACAUGUGUCUGCAUUUAGUUAUUCGUUUGAUAUAGCAAAGACCGAUUUGAUUUUUUAUCGGUUGCUAAGGGAUGGACGAAUUAAACUACAGGAGGGCCAAACUAUACCUCCUGUAGAAGAACUAAAACGCAGAAGAUAUUACAAGUGGCACCAUUCAUGGAGCCAUAAAACUAGUGAAUGUACUGCCUUCAAGAAACAAAUUCAAAAAGAGAUAAAUGAGGGUCGGCUUAUCUUUGCCGACCAAGAAAAUAAAGAUAUGAAAAUUGAUAAGAAUCCUUUUCCAUCACAGGUCAACGCCGUGAAUAUGAAAGGAAAAGGAAAAGCGACUGCGAAAAGGCAGAUCCAAGAAGAAAUAGACAAGGGUCGGCUCAUAUUAGCCGACCAAGAAAAUGAAAAUAAAGUAAUUAACAGAAGUUCGUUUCCGUUUCAGGUUAAUAUGGUGAAUGUUAAAGAAAAAGAGACUGCAGACAAGGAGACCGCAGACAACGUGGCAUAUGCCAAAAAGCAUCUUCGGCUUUGCAUAAGGUGCAAGGCCGAAAUGACAAAAAAAGAUUGGGAAGCCAUUGUGAAUGCCAAGAAAAGAGGCAACGAGUGGAAUGAGUUGAUGGCGUUCCCUGAGGAAUGGGAUUACAUUCCUGAUGGUGAAGACCAAGAAGAAGAAGGCUCGGACGAGGCCUCCAAUGACACUAAACCGGAAGUCAAAUCGGUUCAACGCAAACAAGACAUGUUGAUGCAGAAGAUUCUGCAUGAUUAUUACAACAACAGGCGUAACGAGCGUCAAAGCCAAUGGGACUACCAGGAUAGACCUUUCGGCACCAAGCCAAGGAUUCCUGGAUAUCAGCCACAUUGGCAGCAUCAAACGAGGCCGAGACCAGAACCGGAAUUCAAGGGAAUAACCGAGGGAGACAUAGAAUUCCUUGGUCGGAGAUUAGUCAACGAGCUCAGCAUUUAGCCUUGGCCGAGACCUUGGGAGAGAAGAGAAAUUUUGAAAAAUCAUUUAAGGACAGUAAAGGUACCGGCGAACGUGCCAAUGGAUGAAUGGCACGAAGUUGAGGUUAAACCAUCGGCUAGGAGGCAGGGGCCGAUGUUAACGAAAACUCAAAAGUGUCGGCAGCAGAGGAUGCAAGCCGAGGCAAGACAACACUACGAAGAAGCGAAAGGGAUAAGGCUCAAUGUAUGGAGGCGCCCUGAUGAACAGUCACACCCUUUUCGCCCAAUGAGAAAUGACCACGAGGCAGGCGGCUCAUCGCCUGCCCCUCGAAUGAAGUCAAGAAUAGAACGGCCAACCGAGGCCGAGUCAGAAGAAAAAAUGAGGAGGAGGGAGUUAGAAGACAAAAUAGCUUCUCUCGAAAUGAUGAUCAAGAGAGAAAGAUGGCCCCCUAAGGAAAGGGAAGUCCGGAUGGAGAGCGAUUCUUCAGCCGAGACGGCCAAGGAGUCGGAAGAAAAGAAACAGAGAAUUAAAGGAAAGUCAGCCGAAGAAUCACCGGCUGAGGUGAAUAUGGUGUAUGCUCUGCCUCAAUCUUUUAAGGCAGAGCUUAUCGAGUAUGAAGAGUUCAAAGAAGAGGAGGAAGAUGGGCUUAAAGUAGCCCAGUUGCAAUUGGAAGAUGUUCAACCAGCCGAUGUAGUGGUUUUUGAGAAACCAUCGGCUAUGCAGACGAGAUUCAUAAGGCCUCUCUUUAUAAAGGCCUUAAUUGAAGGUCGGCCAGUAGGCCGAGUUAUGGUAGAUGGUGGAGCUAUGGUCAAUGUCAUGCCCACUGCAUUCUUCAAGAAGUUGGGCAAAGAUGAAGAUGAGUUGAAACCCACGGACACGAUCAUGACCGACUUUAUUAGGAACGGUCAGCAAGCUCGAGGGGUGCUUACGACCGAGAUCACGGUAGGUUCUAAAACUUUACGAACGGCAUUCUUUGUGGUUGAUGCAGAUAGUCAAUAUAACCUACUACUCGGGCGUGAUUGGAUUCAUGCAAAUGAGUGCGUGCCUUCUACACUCCACAGGAAACUUUUUCAAUGGAUCGGAGAUAAAGUUGAAGAAAUCCGGGCCGAAGGACGGCCCCAAAUAGUGGACAUCAACACGGAAGAAAUCAGCCAUAUCAAUUGGACCGACACGGAUCCUGAUCAAAUUUUCUUCGUAAGAGUUACAGAAGAAGGAGUCCAGUUGAUCUUUACUGGAGAAGAAGGGGCUUUGGUGGCAGCCGAUGAGCCACCAAAAUGGUUAAAAUGGAGUCCGAAAAAUCAAGAAUAGAGGCUUGUCAAGAGCCUUGACAGGAUAAGCCGAUCAACAAGAUCGGCUAUAAAGAAGAUUCGGCUGCCACAGCCGAUGUGUUAACACUUGAUGACUUGGCUAGUAAAGUCGAAAAAGCCAUAAUAGAUUCGGUUUACAGGACCGAAAAAGAAAAACAAAUGAAGUCGGUCACCAAGAUCGACAAGUCAUGCGAAAUGAAUAGGCAAGCAAAAGAAUUAGAUCUAGAAGAAUCGCCUAUCAAAGUCGGUGAGAAAAAGUUGGAGACCCAAGACCCGCUGAUCGAAGUAAAUUUGGGAUUUGACGAAGAUAAGAGACCGACGUAUAUAAGCGCAAAGCUUUCGGCUCGACAGCAGAAUGAGCUGAAAGAACUAUUGAAAGAGUACAAGGACUGCUUUGCCUGGAGCUAUGAAGAAAUGUCUAGGUUAAGUCGAGAAAUUGUAGAGCAUAGGCUACCCAUUAAAAAAGGGUUUAAGCCUUUUAAACAACCGGCUCGUAGGUUCGAGCCGAGUAUUGUACUUCAGAUUAAAAAUGAAAUUGAAAAUCUUUUAAAGGCCGGAUUUAUUAGAGCGGCCCGUUAUGUUGAUUGGGUAUCUAACAUAGUUCCAGUACGAACAAAGAAUGGUAAACUUAAAGUUUGCAUUGAUUUCAGAAACUUAAAUUUAGCCACACCAAAAGAUGAGUACCCCAUGCCAAUAGCCGAUAUGUUAGUAGAUUCGGCGUCCGGUAACAAGGUCCUAUCCUUUAUGGACGGACAUGCUAGUUAUAAUCAAAUUUAUAUUGCUAAGGAAGACGUGGCUAAAACGGCUUUUAGGUGCCCUGGUUCGAUUGGAACCUUUGAAUGGGUUGUUAUGCCGUUCGGCUUAAAGAAUGCCGGAGCUACUUACCAAAGAGCAAUGAAUUUUAUUUUUCAUGAUUUAAUAGGCAAAAUUUUGGAAAUAUACAUUGACGAUAUAGUCGUAAAAUCCAAGUCGCAAGCCGAACAUUGGAUUGAUUUAAAGCUCGCCUUUGAAAGAAUGAGGAAAUAUAAUUUGAAAAUGAACCCUUUAAAAUGUAUUUUUGGAGUUUCAGUAGGAAACUUUUUAGGAUUUUUAGUGCAUAAAAAAGGGAUCGAAAUUGAUAAAAACAACGCGAAAGCAAUAUUAGAACUAUUGCCGCCAAAAAGCAAAAAAGAAUUACAAAGUUUGUUGGGGAAGAUUAAUUAUCUUCGGCGGUUCAUAUCCAACUUGGCCGAAAAAAUUAGGAUUUUUACUCCAUUACUUCGGCUUAAAGACAAAGAAGAAUUCGUUUGGACGAAGGAACAGCAAGAGGCGUUUGAAAAUAUAAAAAGAUAUUUAUCGAAUCCUCCGGUACUGGUGCCUCCAAAGCCAAAUCAGCCGAUGAAGUUGUAAAUAUCGGCUGCAGAGGAGAAUUUGGGAUGUUUGCUAGCCUAGAAAAAUGAAGAAAAAGAAGAACAAGCCAUGUAUUAUCUAAGCCGACGUUUUUUAGAUAUUGAGAAACGGUAUUCGGCUAUUGAAAAAUUAUGUUUGACUUUGUAUUAUUCAUGCAUAAAGCUAAGAUACUAUAUUUUACCGACUGAGAUGUCGGUAAUAUGCAAAACCGACCUGGUAAAGUAUAUGUUGGCCAAACCUGUAUUAAGAGGUCGACUUGGAAAAUAGAUGUUGGCUUUGUCUGAAUUCUCCCUUAAUUAUAUUCCAGCUAAAGCUGUUAGAGGACAAGCGAUAGCUGACUUCUUGGCUGAUCAUCCAUGUGUAGAAUUAGAAGAACCGAAACAAAAUUUAGUCGGUUGUCAGUCUUGCACACUUUAUUUUGACGGCUCAAGAACAGCCGAAUCAGCAGGAGCUAGAAUAGUUAUCCAAUCUCCUGAAGGGUAUUCAUGCCAAUUUGCUUUCAAGCUGGAUUUCGGCUACUCUAACAAUUAAGCCGAAUAUGAGGCCUUAAUAAUUGGCCUAGAAAUUUUACAAGAAUUGAAAGCAAAAUCAAUCAAAGUCAUCGGUGACUCACAGUUAGUAAUCAAACAAGUGAAUGAAGAAUAACGAUGUGAAAAUCUGAAUUUACAAAACUAUUUAAGGAAGACAUUAGAGUUACUAUGUGAAUUCAGAGAGACUGAAUUCAAACAUUUGAGUAGACAGAAAAAUGAAAAGGCUAAUGAACUAGCUCAGUCGGCUUCAGGAUAUAGAGAGCCGAAGUCAGAAUCAAUAGUAAUACAGAGGAGGUUGCUACCUUCGGUUCACAUACGAGAACCGAUUAUAGCUCCCAUAGAAGUAAAAGAAGAUUGGAGAGAAUUAUUAAUCAAAUAUCUAGAGGAUCCUAAUACAAGGGUCGACUAUAAUAUUCGAAGAAGAGCUCUCGGCUAUUGUUUAUUAGAUGGUCAACUUUACAAGAGAACAGCCGAAGAGAUUCUAUUAAAAUGCUUAGGACCUGAAGAAGCUCCGUUGAUAAUGGGAGAAACACAUAAAGGAAUAUGUGGAACCCAUUUAGCCGAAAAAAAGUUAAGAUGGACAAUUCGGCACUUAGGAUAUUAUUGGCCAACAAUGCAUCAAGAUUGUGUAGAAUAUGCCAAAGGUUAUCAGGAUUGCCAAUUUCAUGGCUUAAUCCAGAGAGUUCCGGCCUUUGAGAUGUAUGCAAUCAUUAAACCAUGGCCUUUUCGAGGAUGGGCCAUGGAUUUAAUUAGAAAAAUUCAGCCGAACUCCUCGGCUGGUCACAAAUUUUUAAUAGUGGCUGUAGAUUAUUUCACUAAAUGGGUGGAAGCAAAACCCACUCGGUUGGUUACCCAAAAAGAAAUUAUUGAUUUUAUUGAAGACCAUAUAAUUCAUCGCUUUGGGAUUCCCGAGACAAUUACAACCGAUCAAGGGACAAUGUUCACAGGUGGACAGUUCGUUCGGUUCAUCGAGUCUCGAAAAAUAAAAUUGCUCCAUUCAUCUCCUUAUUUUGCCCAAGCGAAUGGACAAAUAGAAGCAGCGAAUAAAAUAAUCAUCAACUUGAUGAAACGACACAUCGGAAAGGAUCCGAGAAAAUGGAAUGAAAAAACUUUUCGAAGUAUUAUAGGCAUGCCGAACUUCAGUGAAAACGGCAACAGGGAUGACACCAUUCCAAUUAGUUUACGGACAUGAGGCCGUAAUUCCAGCCGAGAUAACAGUUCCUUCUUUGAGGAUAAAAAAGCAAAAAGAUUUGUCGGCUGAUGAAUACAGUAAUCUAAUGAAGGACAAAGCAAAGGAAGUAUGUGAUACUCGGUUAAUAGCUUUAGAUAAUAUGCAAGCAUACCAAAGCCGAGUGCGUAGCGCAUACAAUAAGAGAGUUCGAUCAAAGACAUUUGUCGUCGGUGAUUUAGUACUUCUGCUGGUUUUUCAAUCAGUCAAAAAGACCGAACGUAUGGAAAAUGGUCUCCAAAUUGGGACGGGCCAUUUCAAGUCAGACGAAUCACAAGAGGAAAUGCAUAUUAUUUGCAGAACAGAGAUGGGUCAGAAAAUGAAAAACCAAUUAAUGAAAAAUAUUUAAAGAGAUAUUACCUAUCUAUGUGGGGGGAGAAAAACCAAGAUUAAAGUUAGAACAUUACAAGCCGAAUCAAAUUAACAAAUCUUUGAGUUGGUUCCAUUCGGCUAUAAGGUUGGCUUGGGCAGCUUCGGCAGCUUUUCGUCGGCGCUUCAUCAAGGGAUGCACCUUGUAGAGCUGAGAAAGCUCUUCCUGAAUUUUCAUUCCUUCUGCUCUUUUAGCCUUUAAUUGACUCUGCAAUUGAAGCUGGCGCUCAGAGGUUUGGGCUAAAGUUGAUUCGGCUGCUGCUAACUCGUCUUUAAGGGUUGAAAUCCGCUGUUGUAAAGCCGAUUUUUGAUUGGCCAAAGUCUGAUCCUUAUGAUUUACCUCAAUAAUAGGGUCAGCUAUUUCAGGGAUAUUCCUCUUAAAGUGAUCAAUGUGAUGAAAAUGUUGAUCUAAAGAUAAAAGAUCGGCACCCAAAGAUUGUUGCCGAGCCAAAAUAGAAGAAAGUUGAGACGCCAGAGUCUCUACAAAAUAUUUAAUACUAGAAGUAAUAUCUGUUUGAUCGGCCAAAUCGAUUAAGAGAGCGUACAGCCGAUCAAGUAGCUCCAGAUUUUGAGCUAAACAGGGGGGACCAUUGCUAUAUAUUUUAAGACAUUCAUCAAAUUUACGUUGAGUGUCCGAUGAGACAAUAAUAGUCGAAGAAUCAUUCCCCUCAUUGGAACUGGGACUUGAAACCAGUAAAGAAUGAAGAGUAGCAGUUAGAGAAUCCUCAGGAGCAGAAGGGGAAGUCCCAUGAGUUGGAGGAGGAGGUAUGGUGCUUGUUUCUCCAGAGCCUUGCGCUUCUCCAGAACCUUGGUCGACAGGUACACUUGCUUUGUCAUCCCUUGUAAUUGGGUUUGGGGCAGAAAUAGGUGAUAUAGUUUCACCUGGUGAUGGCAUCGUGCUCGCCUCUGCAACGUCUGCCUUAUUUUUUUCCAUACCUCGUUUCUUUUCAAGACAAGCUUCCCGGCGAAGCUAUCUAUCCAUUUGCGCCUUCAAAGAAGAAGCAAAACGAGCUCUUGAAUUAUUUUUGGGAGAAGACUGUUUUAUUAAAAGAAUGAUAAACGAGUUGAUCAAAUAAUACGAGUUAAAGUGACUAAUCAAAUAUACAUACCUCAAUCUCAAUGGGCUCAUUGGGAACUGAGUCUUGUUUGGAAGCAUCAACCGAAGGCGUUUCUUCGGAAAUAGGAGCCGAAGGCAUUUCUUCAGCUUUUUUCUUUGAUACAUCGGCCGACGCAAUACCUUCGGCAUGUGUAGAAUAGGACCUUUUAGCAAUUGACUUACGCCGCUUUGGAGGCGGCAGAGGAGUAGAUUGAACGGUCUCAAUCAGUCUUUUUUUUGAAGCUAAGACCGAUGAAGAAACAGGAAUUGACUGCAGGAAAAAAAAAUAAGUAUUGAAAAGAAAGUUAAAAUAAAGGUGAGUACAUUACAGAAGAAGAAGGCCUGACCUCAGAAGCUUCUUCUUCUCUUGAUAAUGAGACAGGAGGAUCAACUGAAACAAGUGGAUGAAUAGUUCUGCGGAAUGCCCGAAGAAGAGAAAGGUCGAGAGUACGAUCAGUAAAAUGAUCCCAAAUAGUAGCAUAGCCGGCAAGAGCAACUCCUGUUUAGUUCGGCCUGAAGCUCACUAAUUUAAAGAAGCGACGAAGGCGAUUUCCCAUAGCUGAAAUCUUAUCAGCUUCGGCUAUACUUUUAGUAGGGGGUCGAUGAUCGGCUGUAUUAGUUGUAAAAAAUUUGGAUGGAGCGGGAAUCGGCUGAACAAAUCCAAACUGACGGGCCACAUACUGAGGGGAAUAAACCUCAGUGCUUGGUAAUUAUUUUGAGUGCGAUUUUAACCCCGCAUGAAGAUCUCUUGGAGCGAAAUAAGAGUACCAGACCUCUGAGUAUUCACUGGCGCGAGAAGAGGCCAAUUCACCUUGUAUAGCUUCAAACCGGGCAAGGAACCAGGAAGGACCGGUAAGACGGUCAGCAAAGGAAGCCCAAGAAAUAGCCGAUUCAGGACUCGGCUCAUAAAAAGUUUUAAAAUAAGUAAGAAAGUCAGAGGGUUGACCCAGAGUCAUCGCUGUGGACAGCCGAGAGCUAACACAUAAGAAUCAAAUUGAGCAACCGAAGUCGGAUUAAAAGGAGAUUGGCACAAAGCGGGAAUAUAAAAUUGUAAAAAUAUUUGAAGAAAUCAGAAAACACCGCAGCCAGAACUGAUGGGAAUACCAUCUCCAGAAGCCAGUAUUUUAAUAGAAUCAAAAAUUUCUCUAUAAACAAAGGCAAGAAAGUAAGGCCCUAGAGCUAAUCUAUCGCCGUUGGACAAACCAACGGCGAUUGGAACAAAGUCACGAUUAAUUUUCUGUGAACGAGUACAGAAGAAAUUAUGGCAUAACCAAUAAAGGAGGAAUGUCGUAUGUUCGUUCUUAGUAACGGGAGCAGGGGAUUCACUCGCGAAUUUGCGGAUGAACCUGGAGUAAGCCAAGUCAUUGAGGUCUAAACGGUCCUCAAAAUCAGAUACGCCGUCAGGAUUAUAAGACAUAGAAACAGUAACGCCAUGAGGGCGCAAGCUAGUAAUAGCGGCCACGUCAAAAAGAGUGGGGGUAAGAGGUUCUCUUUUGAAAAGAAAAAUAUUAGAAGCAGGGGACCAAAAACAUAGAGCGGCGGCUAGAAGAAGAUUAUCGGCAAUAGGAGGAUGCCGAGACAAUUGAAUAGCUUCAUAUAAUCCAAUCUCUCACCAAAAGUCACCAAAGGCGGCUUCUACUCGAGCUAACUAGGUUAAAUAUGCCUCUGAAGUACUUGGCCAGGUUCGAAGACUCUUCCCUGUUGAAGCAGAAGAGUAUCAAGACUGAAGAUGAAUAGCUUUUCUCAAGGGAAGGCCAUCGCUAGAAAAUCGAUAGGGGCUAGCACUUCUGUAAGAGAAGAACCCAAAAUAAAUCUAGAGGGGUCUGAGUCGACGAAGGGUUUAUGCAUAGUAUAAUCCAGGGAUGGAUGAGAAGGAAGAGGCGGAACCAACGCCAUUAGUUGAAAAAGGAAAAGAGAAAAAGUCAAGUGAAAAAUAAAAUCGGAGAAGAUGAAAGAAAGGGAAGCGAAAGAAAAGUUUCCUAGAAGACGAAGAAGAAAUAGAUGAGACAAAAAGAAUAAAAAGCUUGGAGAAGAAGAAAGGCCGUCGUAUCGAACCGUCGCGUCGAAGCGAGUUUCGAGGUCGGCUUUAAUAAUGAAUAGACGGCGGUAAUUAAGAUGACCUAGUUAAUGCCGCAGAUGAGACAAAAUGAAAAUUGAGAUCGGGCCGUAAGAAAGAAAAUAAACGGCUAAUAUUGAACCGUACAGAGGGNCUUAGGAUUGUCAUAAGUGAGAGCCCCUGGCCAGGGUCUUUCCUCUCUGGCCAGGUGGUCACUCGUUAUAACGCCGUCGGAACUCCGUUGGCCAGGUACCGUCUGCUCUAGCCAGGGGUUCGCGCAUAAUCGUCACUCUCUGGCCAGGGCGCGUCCCUCUAUGGCCAAGGGCUUGCAACCAAAUAGCCCAAGCGUCGCUCUCUGGCCAGGGACGAGCCCUCUCUGGCCAGGGAGACUCGGUUUUGACGGGUCUGGCCCGACAAGGUUAAAAGCUUAAAACCCUCUGGGUGGUCGUCGGACAAUGUUAUCUCCCAGAUAUACUGGGUAGGUGACGAGCGGAUAGGAAUCAAGAGACGAGCGUUGUCCAGUGCGAUGUGGGAACUGUCUGUUCUUCUUCUUCUUCCUCGUUCCUCUUCUUCCUUCCUUUUUCUUCUUCAAACUCUCGAUGAUCAGGUGAACCUUUUAGAAGGAGUGGGUUUGAAGAAGUAAUCACGAACCUCCAACUUGAACCUCGAACAGUUUCUCUUCUAGAAGUAGGGAACCUCGAGGGUAACCUCGUAGAUUCUUGCACAAGAUCGACGUUAAUUAAGGAGAUCUGAAAGCCUUAACUUCCAAGCAUCGUGGUUAAAACGUUGGGUUGUUGAGGUUGACGUGGGGCUAAUUAGAUGCCCGUACACAGUAGAUCCCGAUAACCCGGCUUUAAUCAACCAAAUCUUGUAAGGAACCUGUCAAUUUAACAAGCUUUGUGAUGUCAAUAUCUAGAGAAAACCUCGAAACCUUUUUUAUUUUAUGGAACUCUACUCAAAAUCGGGAGAUCAGAGUAAUCAAUUACUCCAAUUAGAACAUCAAUUCCGUUAUCAUUACGGGCACAUCGUUAUGCGAGUUAUGAAAAUCCCAUGAUUCUAUCGAGCACCUGUUUAGGCAAGCCAGUUAGCUUCCUCGUGCGUUUUUAAGCCUCCCUAAUAGGCUCGUUUUUUUACUCUUUAAUAGUAAUUUACUACUUAAUUCCUAGUAAUUAAUUUUUUCGUACGUCUACGAACAAUCUACCUGAAUAACACUUAAAAUCUUACGAAUUUUACGGUUACAACGUAUAUCAUUUUAAAACCCGGAGAUACAUCAUCUGUCUUACUUACACACUAUAUUUUAAGAUCAACUGUGUCUUUGAUUCUAGGUAUACAUAAGCUUUGUACUUUGGAACGAAAUUACGUAACAUCGACUAUUAACGGUUAACAGUGUAAUCCCUAGGUUGAGUUUGGUGCCGGAUCUCUCCGAACUGCUUAAUCUGAUAUUGUCUCUAACUCGGUGUCCUGUAUUUCUCCUUCACCCGGGUUCGAUUUGAUUUGGUUCGAUCGUUUAGGAAAAUUAAUGUUAUGCCUUGUACUUAGGCCGUAUUAAUGGUACAGCUACGAGUUCACAGUAUUUCUACCGUGAUUCGUUCACACACGCAACCUCGCAGUGAAACUGUGAAACCUGAUCUAGGAACCGUGCGCUGCACUGGCACGGUACACUCUCCGUACUCUCAUGUCAUGAACUCUGCCACUUUCACGAGCGAUCGGUAAACUCUAGUAAGCGUGUACGACCGCUCCCAGCGAGGAAUGUUCGGCGGUGAGGCCUCAAUACACGACGUAGUUUGUUGAAUAGAAGCGAGCACGCUAUAACUCUUCGGAUGCCGCACGUUUACCCUGUCUUUGUUUGGUUCUCAUGUCUACAACCCGAUGGUGUCUUUAAAGAAUCUGCCGUGUAUCGACCUGAUGGAAACCAUCCAGGAAUUACCCUUGUACUUUUAGCUGUGCCCCACUCAAACCAACUCUUAGUGAUGAUUUAUCUCUCCUCGUCGACCUAAUGACAAAGUGGCGGUGAAGACGACGAUGAUGUCGAAUAAACCUGACCACCCAUGUGUAUGUCUCGUACAACAUUCGAUCUUACUGUAACGAAUGAACGUGAGUAUAUUUGUUACAACGUUACUAUUUCUUAUUAGGAGUAUUAAAGUAAUUCGUUUGGUACUGUAAUCAAUAGCGAUUCAUCUCUAGUCUAGGCAACGUACUGUUUUAUUAACACGUAAUGUAUUUACGGUACAAUUUUAACGAUUCAUUAUAAAAUCGAUUAAACGUUGAAUAGGAUAUUAUUUACUUUUAAUGAGCAAUAUCGAUAACGAAAACUGUAUUAAGUGCUUCAUUUUGUUAAAUAAAUUUUAACUUCUCUUUUAAAACAUCCAGAAUAUUUAAUCAAAAUAUUGGCAGUAGAGAUAAUCAAGCCAGUUUAAUUGGGGAGUUAGAAUAGUUCAAUCCGAAGUAGAGGCCUCUUCGGUCUCCCUCGUACGUCAGCUCCUACGAUUUUCCGGGUUUGGAUUGGGUUUUUUAAAUUUGACAGACAAUCCUUAACCAAUCCAGAGAUCACAUAAAGAUCAACUUAAUCCUAUUUAUAAAAUUAAAUCAAUUUAAACACCAAAUGAGGAUUAACUUAAUCUUCUUUGUAAAAUUAAGUAAUUUCUAUUUAAUUAAAUUUAAAUUUAUAAUCGAUCUCAUUAUAAGGAUUAAUAUAAUCUAAAUCUAUAUAGUAAUAAAUGCGUAAUAUAUAUACUGUGAUUCCUCAUCGAGCUCAAGACUUUGUUCUUUCGGAACCUGCAGUCAUGGCUCAACCUCUCUCUCGCAAAUAUCUUUUAUUCUAGAUCUUCACACACUCUCUAAGCCCAAAUUAAGAAAAGAUUAAAUCACCUAGAACAAAAUAGAUAUAUAAAAAAACUAAAAGAGAGAAAACAUUAACAUAGUCGAUAAAUACUCAAAUACAAUUUUUAAGCUAAACUGUAAAAAUAACGCUUUAAAAUUAUGACCAUAGCCUAAAUCUCAUCAUCCACAAUCUCGCCUAACGUUUAAAUUCUUCUCGUGAAAAUAUCAUUUUUAAGUUAAAGUGCGGAAGCAACGCUUUAGGGGUGCGGUCAUGGCAUAAGUGACGUCAACUAUAGUUUCGUCUAACGUAUAAGUUCUGAUCGUCAUCUAAGAUUUGUGACAAUUUAUCUCUACAACAGAUACAGUAUAUGUUCGAUUAUAUAAGAUAAAUUAAACCUAUACGUGCUAUUACCCCUGAUGAAACUUAUUUUAGGAUCUCUAGAGACGUCUAUCUAACUCCGAGCAAUUUACAUAUCGAAUACUAAACAUACAUUAGUAAGCAUAACGUUAAAUAAUAAGAAAUUUAAAAUCACCACGUCAAAAAUAGGCUAGUCAUUCUAAAUGAUUUGGUAAUGAUUAAAGAUUCUUUAGGGUAUCAAAGAUAUAAACAUCUUAGCUUGAUAUAGAUAUAUAAACACAUCUCUAUUCAAUUGAGAUGUUGGUUUUCCUAACGUUAGAAGUACUAAAGAUUUGGGAUUUGGGAUUCAGGAUUAUUCUUUUAUUUAUUUGUUCUUUUAACUUUUAAAAGAACCUUUGGUUUUGGGGAUUGUAUAACAAUUUAAUUUCUAAACUUUCUUUUUUUUUUGUGAGUUUAAGGAGGUUAAUGCUUCAAUCUUGGUCAUUUCACUGGUUUAAUCUCGUUGUUUCUCUAGUUUGCUUAUCUCAAGUCUCAUUUUCUUGCAUGGGUACCUGCUAAGAGAUCUUAGGCUUCUGUACCGCGAGGUGGGUGCGCCGCUGCUUCUCCCUCGCACAUUGCGGGGCCCCGGAUAAUAUUUUCAGAAAAAUUUAGCUAUGGUUAAAACUUUAGUCUCAAUGUCUUUUGCACGGUAAAAAAAAAAAUAAAAAAUUGGACCGGGUGCACUGCAUGUCUGGGCGGUAUUUAUGUUUCAAAGAGACAGGUGAGCCUGUCUCAGAUGAAACAUAAACGUGCCGUAUGGUUGCUAUGUAGUCCUAGAGUUGGUGUUGAAUGUAAAUGGUUAGUUGUUGGUUAAAUACGCUAUGUAAACGUAUGUCGAUCGCUAGGAAUCUUUACCACGUACAGAGAUUUGUGAGGAAUCCUUGUGAGGAAUCCAUGACCUACUACGUUACGUGUUAUGUUGUUCGUAGUAUAGAUUCUCACGAGGGGUGGACCUUAAAAGCCUUCGAAAUAAAAAUUUGAGAUUAAGUUAGUAAGUGUUUGGUAAGCUUUUGGAAAAUUUUAACAAAAGGUGAGCUUUUGAGAUAAAACUUUUGGCUGAUGCAGCUCCCCAUCUUUUGGUGCUACGUAUUUAGGUAUUUAUGUUCUUGAUAUAUAGAUAUUUUGGUUUAGGUGCCUAGGUGUUUAGAGAU